rnacentral:rRNA from 1 species
CCUACGGGAGGCAGCAGUAAGGAAUAUUGGUCAAUGGGCGCAAGCCUGAACCAGCCAUGCCGCGUGCAGGAUGACGGCCCUCUGGGUUGUAAACUGCUUUUAUACGGGAAGAACAGCAUCUACGUGUAGGUGUUUGACGGUACUGUAAGAAUAAGGACCGGCUAACUUCGUGCCAGCAGCCGCGGUAAUACGAAGGGUCCAAGCGUUAUCCGGAUUUAUUGGGUUUAAAGGGUGCGUAGGCGGUCUUUUUAAGUCAGUGGUGAAAGCCUGAUGCUCAACAUCAGAACUGCCAUUGAUACUGAAGAGCUUGAGUACAGUUGAGGUUGGCGGAAUGUGUCAUGUAGCGGUGAAAUGCUUAGAUAUGACACAGAACACCGAUUGCGAAGGCAGCUAGCUAAGCUGUUACUGACGCUGAUGCACGAAAGCGUGGGGAGCAAACAGGAUUAGAUACCCUGGUAGUCCACGCCCUAAACGUUGAUAACUCGUUGUUAGCGAUAUACUGUUAGCGACCAAGCGAAAGCAUUAAGUUAUCCACCUGGAAGUACGGUCGCAAGAUUGAAACUCAAAUGAAUUGACGG